CUCCUCUCUCUCUACCAUGUUAACCAAACAUCUUGCACAAGUUUUGGACACAUUAAACAUGAAGGCUCUUCUAAUAUGGGCUGUUUUGCUGAACUUUUACAAACUCCUUAAGACAGGUGACUGCACUUCAAAACAUGACCAAGUACUCUCAAUCCAAGUCACAACACACCAACAGGCAGAUAUUGUGAGAAACAUAUCCAGCCAAUAUGAGACAGUUUUGUGGUCACCUGCUUCACCUGAGCACAUUGGAGCAGACACUGAGGUGCACCUGUUUGUUCCUGCCAACAACUUGGGGACUGUCACAGACCU